rnacentral:rRNA from 1 species
AUGUAUGUGUGUUCUGUUUUAGACAAUGGUGUUCAUGUAAGCGCGUUCACGUCAUGUUCCGUUCUGCAAUGCACAAGUACCAUGUUCUCUUUUAUUUCUGGAAUCGUGUGUAUUCGCACAAGUACUAUGCACACAGCAACACAUGGUCUAUACUGCUGCAAAUUGUUCCGCGUUAGCUUUGAAUCUGUUAGUGAAGUUGUUAUUGUAUGGUAA